rnacentral:rRNA from 1 species
UAGGGAAUUUUCGGCAAUGGGGGGAACCCUGACCGAGCAACGCCGCGUGAAUGAAGAAGUAUUUCGGUAUGUAAAAUUCUUUUAUUUGGGAAGAAGGUUAUUGAUAGGAAAUGAUUAAUAAGUGACGGUACCAAAUGAAUAAGUCCCGGCUAACUACGUGCCAGCAGCCGCGGUAAUACGUAGGGGACGAGCGUUAUCCGGAUUUAUUGGGCGUAAAGGGUGCGUAGGCGGUAGAUUAAGUUCAAGGUAAAAGCGUGGGGCUCAACCCCAUUAGGCCUUGGAUACUGGUUUACUUGAGUUAGGUAGAGGUAAGUGGAACUCCAUGUGUAGCGGUAAAAUGCGUAAAUAUAUGGAAGAACACCUGUGGCGAAAGCGGCUUACUGGGCCUAUACUGACGCUGAGGCACGAAAGCGUGGGGAGCAAACAGGA